rnacentral:lncRNA from 1 species
GAUGUUCUUCCUUAAUCCGCUGGCAGAUAAGGCAUCAGGAGACGUAGUCAACUAUAUCCUUAUUCAUUCCUUACCACCAGUACUGACGCUUCAAGUCGCGGUACAUUUUGGUACUUUCAGGAUGGAUGGAUAGCUUAAAAGCAUGGGUAGUCUUGAAAACAUCCUCCCUUACAGCAACAGGGACGCAAAUUCUGUUCCAAAAUCUAAACAGUCCAUCAUUUAAAAUCUUGAAAUCAAGAGAUUCGUAAGAAGUGAACUUACCUAGAUUCUUGAUGAGUUCUAGAUCCGUGGAUUAAGCUUCCUAGAUUUUCAUAAAGAGAUCUGACAGGGGUCGGAUCUGGGUAAGAUAGGUGCCUUUGCCAUAAUAGCUAAGGUAGAAAGACUACAUAGUGUCCAUUAAUUUCCAACUAGAGGCCAUGGUUUGAGCUAACACAUCAGACUCUUUUCUGCUCAGUGCAACAACAGCUACAUUUUCUCUCCCGGAGUGAUAGAUGAUCUUGCAAUCAUCAAAAGAUCCAUCCAACAUCUCUGUCUCAUGUUUAACUCCUUCUAUAAAAAGAUGUACUUUAAACUCUUAUGGUCACUGUAAAUUUUAAAAGUUUGAACAU